rnacentral:tRNA from 1 species
UUCCCGGUGGCCUAGCAGGUAAGGAUCAGGCAUUGUCACUGCUAUGGCUCAGGUCACUGCUGUGGUGCAGGUUCAAUCCCUGCCCGGGAAC